rnacentral:rRNA from 1 species
CCUACGGGUUGCACCAGUGGGGAAUAUUGCACAAUGGGCGCAAGCCUGAUGCAGCCAUGCCGCGUGUAUGAAGAAGGCCUUAGGGUUGUAAAGCUCUUUCACCGGUGAGGAUAAUGACGGUAACCGGAGAAGAAGCCCCGGCUAACUUCGUGCCAGCAGCCGCGGUAAUACGAAGGGGGCUAGCGUUGUUCGGAAUUACUGGGCGUAAAGCGCGCGUAGGCGGAUAGAUAAGUCAGAGGUGAAAUCCCGGGGCUCAACCCCGGAAUUGCCUUUGAUACUGUUUAUCUUGAGUGCAGAAGAGGUAAGUGGAAUUCCGAGUGUAGGGGUGAAAUUCGUAGAUAUUCGGAGGAACACCAGUGGCGAAGGCGGCUUACUGGUCUGCAACUGACGCUGAGGCGCGAAAGCGUGGGGAGCAAACAGGAUUAGAUACCCCAGUAGUC